UACGGAGGGGGCUAGCGUUGUUCGGAAUUACUGGGCGUAAAGCGCACGUAGGCGGCUAUUCACGUCAGAGGUGAAAGCCUGGAGCUCAACUCCAGAAUUGCCUUUGAAACUGUGUAGCUAGAGUGUCGGAGGGGAUAGCGGAAUUGCUAAUGUAGAGGUGAAAUUCGUAGAUAUUAGCAGGAACACCGGUGGCGAAGGCGGCUAUCUGGACGACAACUGACGCUGAGGCGCGAAAGCCAGGGGAGCGAACGGG
rnacentral:rRNA from 1 species